UCCAGCAGCCAUGUUACCCUGCAACUCACAACUGGCAACCCACUGAAGCUCAGCAGGUGUGAGCCUGGUCAGUACCUGGAUGGGAGACAACCUGGGAAAAACUAUGGUUGCUACUGGAA
rnacentral:rRNA from 1 species